AAUGUGUUUCAUUUAAAAAACUAAUUGGAAUUUCAGUUGAAAAAAUUAAUACUACUACCCUUUAUAUUGAAAGGAAAAAGAAACUGUUUAUUAAACGCUUCUGCCAACAUGCCUUGUCAACCAAAGAAAGCAUUCUUUAAAGACUCCUUUACUGGAAAAUAAUGAAUGUCAAUCCACAAAAAGGCCUUGGAGUUCUUGUUCCCAAAUGUAGCUCAGAAAAUCUAUAUCAGCUACCCCUUGACAUGUUAUUUUAUAGGGAAUCAUUUAAUGCCUCUAUUUAUGUGUAUUUAUAUAUGCCUGAUAAUUUAUAUCGAGCGCAGCGUAAGGAAGACUUCGCCCGGCACGCGAAGCGAGGCUUCAUGGUAACACGUAUAAAUAAAAUAGAACGCGCGUUAUUCAAUUUGUCGGCUCAUCUGACAGCAGUAAUUGACACGACGACGUCAAAAAUUAAUCAUUCAAUGCUAUAAUAAAUAGAAAAUUUAUUAACUAACGAUAUGGAUAAGCAUUAUAUGAAGAAAUAAAAAAUUCUCGG
rnacentral:misc_RNA from 1 species